UACGUAGGGUGCAAGCGUUGUCCGGAAUUAUUGGGCGUAAAGGGCGCGUAGGCGGCUUGACAAGUCACUUGUGAAAUCUCCGGGCUUAACUCGGAACUGCCAAGUGAAACUGUCAUGCUAGAGUGCAGAAGGGGCAAUCGGAAUUCUUGGUGUAGCGGUGAAAUGCGUAGAUAUCAAGAGGAACACCUGAGGUGAAGACGGGUUGCUGGGCUGACACUGACGCUGAGGCGCGAAAGCCAGGGGAGCAAACGGG
rnacentral:rRNA from 1 species